rnacentral:lncRNA from 1 species
GCUGUUUUCUCAGACUUACCUAAGUCAGGUCUCCUCAUCAUUCUCUCCCAUGAUGUGAAGUUGACCAGGCAACAAGCCCAGGCCUCGUCCUCUUAAGUAUUUUUCUGUAUUUGGUAACCCAGGAAGUUUCUGCAUGUGUUCCUCUUGCUGAAUCUGACCAAGAAAUAAUCAGACCUUUGGAGUUUGUAAGUAAAGCAUUUAAACUUACUAAUGGUGUGGUCUGUUCAUUGCGAGAGGGGUAGUGGCGGGUGGUGGUGGUGGUGGCUGUAAGUGGACCAAAUGGGAUACUGUAUUAAAAGGGUCUAACAGCCUAUAUUCCUAACACUUCACUGUUGCACAUUUUAUGACUUUUAAACUCUGCUGGGGCUCUGUUACAGGGCUUUGGAUCUAGGGAUACAGCCAAGUCUUUUAUUAAUUACCCCAUAUGGGUGAUCUAUAUUUUCCCACCACACUGUGCUCAGUGGAGGAAGAGGGGGAAUUGCCUGUGAUUUUCUGCAUGAGGCACAUGUGUAUCAGUCCCCAUAAAUACGGUGUUUUGUACAUUACACAAAGGCCAACUGGUGUUUGCCCGUGAAGUGUCUUUAUCAUGUAUUUUGUGCUUGUAAAUAGCAUUUUUACUUUGUGAACUGCCCUGAGGGGCGCUCUACAAAUUUAAUAAACAAAUGCGUGCUCAAGAGUCAGUGCUAACCAACAAUCGCUUCUGAUGUCUUCUUGCACAAUACAUGUGUUGGCAAACACGUCUCUCUUGCAUUCCAUUUUCCAUUGUUACACUUUAAAGAUCUCAGGUGCCCGACGAAAGAAAAUGGAAUUUGCGAAGUGGUUUUUCCGUGCACCCAGUGUCAUAAGGGCAAGCGUGUUCCAUGCAGAUUGGAAACGCCUGCUGCGCAAACCUGUGCAUGUUCCAAAAUUUCUGAUCUGCACCAUCAUGUCUGCAACCUCAUUUGUUUAAGUCAGACAAAAGAUGCAACAGCCGGCGUUGUUGGCUUCCUAAAGGGAGCACAUUUUCUCCUACUGACUGAUUAAUUACUCGGUGAAUGCAUUCAGCUUGAAGAGACACUUUAAUUAUUCAGGGGCUGCAUGGAUGCUAAUGUAGUGUGUGUGUGUGUGUGUGUGUGUGUGUGUGUGUGUGUCUUUUGAGUCUGCCGGAUCUUGUCACGUGAAGCCAAGCCCCUGGCUUUUGUGUAGGCAAGGAAAUGUUUCUGAAAGCUGCUUCCCUGGACCAGGUACCAGGCGAAAGUAAUGCAACAGCUCUAGAGAGGAAGGGCUUUGCUUAUUCUUCCACUGCCUUUUGGGAACUUUGAAAGGAACAGCUGGUGUGGGCCUAAAACCCUCCUAUGAUAUGUAAGAAAGUGCCUUAACUCUGUUCGUCCUGGAGAAGCAGGCAUGGGGGAGAUGACAUACUUUAGGGUGGAGAGAUGAGAUUUCCCUUCCAGAUUUACUUAUUUAUGGUGUAUAAAUAACGGGUGAGUAGGCACGGCCGUUUUCAUAGGGCUCGUGUUCCCAACAAAUAACAGGGAUCCUCCCUUAAAAAUGUAUUUCCCCCCACUGGGACUGGUGGGGUGGAAAGCAUGGAUACCAACAAUAUUGUCAUUAUCAUCAUCAUCAUUAAUAAAACUAAAAUACUGUAUACUGCCCUUCAUCUGUAGAUCUCAGGGCAGUUCAUAGCAGCUGAAAAAUGAAAGAUUAAAAACUCAAAAUACAAAAGACAAGAACAAAAGCAUAGCAAACCAGCAUUAAUAAUAAUUUUAUUAUUUAUACCCCACCCUUCUGGCUGGGCUGCCUCAGCCAAUCUAGGCAGCUUACAGCGUAUAUAAAAACAUAAUAAAGCAUUAAACUUUAAAAAGUUCCCUGUACAGGGCCUCCUUCAGAUGUCUUUUGAAGGUUGUAGAGUUACUUAUCUCCUUGACAUCUGAUAGGAGGUUGUUCCACGUUUGAGAAGGCCCAAUAACCCGCCCUCCCUCAGUAGCCAAGGGCAAGUGUUUCUGCCCCUGUGCUCAUUGCUGACGAAUUCUGUAAAGACAACACUUGAGAUUUAGGAUGAGUGUGCCAUACAAAUUUAACCACGCAACAAAUAUAACUGUCAUUUCCAUUGUCUUUUAGGAGAGAUUAUUCUUUCUUCAAGCCUUUGAGGCAGAGCUUGCUAUCCCUGUUGGUACCCGUGUUGGAUUUGAAAUGGGUUAUAAACUGUUUUCAUUGCUUUAUGUGUAAUUGUUAAAAACUUGCUUUUACACAGGCAAUUGUUUUAUAUAUAUUUUUAUUGUGUUGCAUAUUGCUUUGAGAUGCCCCAUCAGAAGCAAUUCAUUCGUAAAUGAAAUAACUAACCUAUGUAUCCCGUUGCGAUUACUGAAGGCGCCCCUUCAUGACGUUGUUGUUUUUUAUAAGGUGGGGUGCAAAGAGAGUACAGAGGUCCCUCCACCAAUAGGGAGGGCAUGUGUCCUACCUUACAAAGGGCAGUCCUCUAUUUGAAGGACUGUCUGCUCCAAGUCCAGAUUUAAACAUACCAAACCGUAAGGAUAUUCUGUAUCCGAGUGCCUUGGAAGUUGUUCAUCAACAGCCACAGGCUCUCCUGCUGCAGUGUACUAUUUUUAUAUUGAUAGGAAUUGUUUCUAAAUUUGCAUCUAUACAGAUACACUAAUACAUGCAAAUUUUAUGUAAAUCUCUCUCUCUUGGUGAUGCCUACAUGGCCAGCCUGUUCACCAAAGUCCAGACUUUAUUACCUUUCAGAAGUGUGGCAAGACCCACCUGCUUAGGAACUGAAUUGAUUUUGUUUUCUUGGUGCCAUUUUCCUUUCUGGUUUUGAUUUUCUUCUCUCCAUAUGCAUCCAGGGUUUGGUUUUAUAAAAUAAAAAUUUCUAUACAGAUAGUGGACGACCAUCCCUUAUAUAGCGAAAAUAACACCACUUGAGCAUGAGGAGGUGGUAAAAGCAGGCUGUGGGGAAAUCCCAAGUUUUUUCUGAAGUGCAACAAACACCAUCUCCCUUUAAAAAUAGGGCCAUGGGAAGUGGGAAGGGUGUGGGAACUGCAAACAGACUAGGGAGGACUGAGCGUGCUCAGCAGUCAUGGAAUGCUAGCUGGCUGCUUGGGUGGGUGGAGAGGUGGGAAAGCAGUAUAUAAAUACCCAAAACAAACAAAAAUGGUGGUGGAAUGGAAUAUCCUGAAAGAGGAUCGGAACCCUGAACAGGAGCACCACAAGUCCCACUUGUAAAUAUAUAUUGCUCUUUGAAUACAUCAACUUUUUUUUUUUUUUUUUAGCAAAGAGGGAGAGAAAGGAAUACUUAUAAUAGCUGCUGAAGGAGUUGGGAGCUAAUCCUGGAACACAAUGGGAAAGCACUUGACGCGAUUGCAGCAGUCACCUAUAAUUAUCAGGAAAAUAAAAAUAAGGCAUCUGACUUCAGAGGGGGCUUGUUGUUUCCUGGUGUCAAUAAAGCCGAAAGUCAUGGAAGUCUGUGUUGUCUUUUUUUUUUCUUGUUUCAUUUUUGCUUUUAUUAGCACCCAAUAAACUGAGGCCUCCAGAAGCAUCAACGCAGUUAAGUUUCAACGGAUACAAAUGCUGCCAUCUUCUGGUCCAAAUAAAGGUUUACAACUGCCAAUGUAAGGUCAUUUAUUUACCCAGUGCAAGAUGCAGCUUUUAAUCAUCGUCUGUUGAUGGAGAGUCCACUGGUGCCCAAGGAAGUUGGUUCCAUUGUGAAACAGCGCUUACCUUUCAAGAAAUUCUCCUAAGGUUUAGCAUCAUGCAUCUGACAAAGUGGGCUUUGACUCAAUAGGUUUUAUGCCGCAACAGGCUUAUUAAUCUUUUGAGGUCCCUCCUGGAUUCUUUGCUCUUGCAGAGUAGAAGCGGCUAUUUCCCUUCUGCAAAGCUUAUAGAAAGCUAAACGGCAGUCUGGCCAUGUGACUGUUCUGAUCUCACUUGUGCUUUUUUUUGCAGGCUUUGGGGCUCAAUCCACACAGCCACCAGAGGGAUAUGGGGAGUGAACGGGCAGUUGCUACUGCCAGGAGGACAAGAUGAGCCCAUUCAGGAAGAAUGCUUGCUGAGGAUUGAGACCCACACAAAACUAAGUGGGCCAAUAAUGUAUUAAAAAAAUAAACUUUGAAUAGCUUAAAAGUGCAAUCUUAUGUCCACUCCAAAGCAAGCCCCAUCGAGUUCAAUGGGUCUUACUCCCAGGUAAAUGAACAUAGGAUUGCAGCCCAAAAGUCUCUUUUAUGCAAUAUUUAAAGAUAACAAGAAUCCAAAUUGGUAUUUGUGCACAUCUUAAGAUUAUGUAUCUAUAAAUACUAGAUCAAAUAUCCAGUAACUUUCCCAGCAAGCAAUUCACUGGAUUCCAAUAUAUUGUCU